rnacentral:rRNA from 1 species
AAAGUCGGGGGAGCAAACAGGAUUAGAUACCCGGUAGUCCCGACCUUAAACGGUGCAUACUCGCGGUUGGGGGAUUUCACCCCUCCAGUCGCUAGCUAACGCGUUAAGUAUGCCGCCUGGGGAGUACGGCCGCAAGGCUAAAACUCAAAGAAUUGACGGGGGCCCGCACAAGCAGAGGAGCAUGUGGCUUAAUUCGAUGCAACGCGAAGAACUUACCUGGAUUUGACAUGUAUCUGCACGGCUUAUGAAAGUAGGCUUCCUUCGAGGGUGAUCACAGGUGCUGCAUGGCUGUCGUCAGUUCGUGCCGUGAGGUGUUUGGUUAAGUCCACCAAGAACGCAACCCCUAUGAUCCGUUGCCAUCGGGUAAUGCCGGGAACUCAGAUCACACUGCCGUUUACGCAGGAGGAAGGUGGGGAUGACGUCAAGUCAGUAUGGCCCUUACAUCCAGGGCUCACACGUGCUACAAUGGCUGGUACAGAGCGAUGCGAGACCGCAAGGUGGAGCAAACCGCAAGAGCCAGCCUCAGUUCGGAUUGGGGUCUGCAACUCGACCCCAUGAAGUCGGAUUUGCUAUAACGGCGUAUCAGCUACGACGCCGUGAAUGCGUUCCCGGGCCUUGUACACACCGCCCGU